UACAGAGGUGGCAAGCGUUGUUCGGAAUUACUGGGCGUAAAGGGCGCGUAGGCGGCCAUCUAAGUCAGACGUGAAAUCCCCCGGCUUAACCUGGGAACUGCGUCUGAUACUGGAAGGCUUGAGUAUGGGAGAGGGAUGUAGAAUUCCAGGUGUAGCGGUGAAAUGCGUAGAUAUCUGGAGGAACACCGGUGGUGUAAACGGCUUUCUGGACCAUAACUGACGCUGAGGCACGAAAGCGUGGGUAGCAAACAGG
rnacentral:rRNA from 1 species